rnacentral:rRNA from 1 species
UACGGGGGGGGGCAAGCGUUGUUCGGAAUUACUGGGCGUAAAGGGCGCGUAGGCGGUCUACUAAGUUGGAUGUGAAAACUCUGGGCUUAACUCAGAGCCUGCAUUCAAAACUGAUAGGCUGGAGUUCUGGAGGGGAUAGCGGAAUUCCUGGUGUAGCGGUGAAAUGCGUAGAUAUCAGGAGGAACACCGGUGGCGAAGGCGGCUAUCUGGACAGAAACUGACGCUGAGGCGCGAAAAGCUAGGGGAGCAAACAGG